AACGAACGCUGGCGGCAUGCCUAACACAUGCAAGUCGAACGAGACCUUCGGGUCUAGUGGCGCACGGGUGCGUAACGCGUGGGAACCUGCCCUUAGGUUCGGAAUAACUCCCCGAAAGGGGUGCUAAUACCGGAUAAUGUCUUCGGACCAAAGAUUUAUCGCCUUUGGAUGGGCCCGCGUUGGAUUAGCUAGUUGGUAGGGUAAAAGCCUACCAAGGCGACGAUCCAUAGCUGGUCUGAGAGGAAGAUCAGCCACACUGGGACUGAGACACGGCCCAGACUCCUACGGGAGGCAGCAGCGGGGAAUAUUGGACAAUGGGCGAAAGCCUGAUCCAGCAAUGCCGCGUGAGUGAUGAAGGCCUUAGGGUUGUAAAGCUCUUUUACCCGGGAUGAUAAUGACAGUACCGGGAGAAUAAGCUCCGGCUAACUCCGUG
rnacentral:rRNA from 1 species